rnacentral:rRNA from 1 species
CGUUAAGUUGCAGGGUAUAGACCCGAAACCCGGUGAUCUAGCCAUGGGCAGGUUGAAGGUUGGGUAACACUAACUGGAGGACCGAACCGACUAAUGUUGAAAAAUUAGCGGAUGACUUGUGGCUGGGGGUGAAAGGCCAAUCAAACCGGGAGAUAGCUGGUUCUCCCCGAAAGCUAUUUAGGUAGCGCCUCGUGAAUUCAUCUCCGGGGGUAGAGCACUGUUUCGGCAAGGGGGUCAUCCCGACUUACCAACCCGAUGCAAACUGCGAAUACCGGAGAAUGUUAUCACGGGAGACACACGGCGGGUGCUAACGUCCGUCGUGAAGAGGGAAACAACCCAGACCGCCAGCUAAGGUCCCAAAGUCAUGGUUAAGUGGGAAACGAUGUGGGAAGGCCCAGACAGCCAGGAUGUUGGCUUAGAAGCAGCCAUCAUUUAAAGAAAGCGUAAUAGCUCACUGGUCGAGUCGGCCUGCGCGGAAGAUGUAACGGGGCUAAACCAUGCACCGAAGCUGCGGCAGCGACACUAUGUGUUGUUGGGUAGGGGAGCGUUCUGUAAGCCUGUGAAGGUGGCCUGUGAGGGUUGCUGGAGGUAUCAGAAGUGCGAAUGCUGACAUAAGUAACGAUAAAGCGGGUGAAAAGCCCGCUCGCCGGAAGACCAAGGGUUCCUGUCCAACGUUAAUCGGGGCAGGGUGAGUCGACCCCUAAGGCGAGGCCGAAAGGCGUAGUCGAUGGGAAACAGGUUAAUAUUCCUGUACUUGGUGUUACUGCGAAGGGGGGACGGAGAAGGCUAUGUUGGCCGGGCGACGGUUGUCCCGGUUUAAGCGUGUAGGCUGGUUUUCCAGGCAAAUCCGGAAAACCAAGGCUGAGGCGUGAUGACGAGGCACUACGGUGCUGAAGCGACAAAUGCCCUGCUUCCAGGAAAAGCCUCUAAGCAUCAGGUAACAUCAAAUCGUACCCCAAACCGACACAGGUGGUCAGGUAGAGAAUACCAAGGCGCUUGAGAGAACUCGGGUGAAGGAACUAGGCAAAAUGGUGCCGUAACUUCGGGAGAAGGCACGCUGAUAUGUAGGUGAAGCGACUUGCUCGUGGAGCUGAAAUCAGUCGAAGAUACCAGCUGGCUGCAACUGUUUAUUAAAAACACAGCACUGUGCAAACACGAAAGUGGACGUAUACGGUGUGACGCCUGCCCGGUGCCGGAAGGUUAAUUGAUGGGGUUAGCGGUAACGCGAAGCUCUUGAUCGAAGCCCCGGUAAACGGCGGCCGUAACUAUAACGGUCCUAAGGUAGCGAAAUUCCUUGUCGGGUAAGUUCCGACCUGCACGAAUGGCGUAAUGAUGGCCAGGCUGUCUCCACCCGAGACUCAGUGAAAUUGAACUCGCUGUGAAGAUGCAGUGUACCCGCGGCAAGACGGAAAGACCCCGUGAACCUUUACUAUAGCUUGACACUGAACAUUGAGCCUUGAUGUGUAGGAUAGGUGGGAGGCUUUGAAGUGUGGACGCCAGUCUGCAUGGAGCCGACCUUGAAAUACCACCCUUUAAUGUUUGAUGUUCUAACGUUGGCCCGUAAUCCGGGUUGCGGACAGUGUCUGGUGGGUAGUUUGACUGGGGCGGUCUCCUCCUAAAGAGUAACGGAGGAGCACGAAGGUUGGCUAAUCCUGGUCGGACAUCAGGAGGUUAGUGCAAUGGCAUAAGCCAGCUUGACUGCGAGCGUGACGGCGCGAGCAGGUGCGAAAGCAGGUCAUAGUGAUCCGGUGGUUCUGAAUGGAAGGGCCAUCGCUCAACGGAUAAAAGGUACUCCGGGGAUAACAGGCUGAUACCGCCCAAGAGUUCAUAUCGACGGCGGUGUUUGGCACCUCGAUGUCGGCUCAUCACAUCCUGGGGCUGAAGUAGGUCCCAAGGGUAUGGCUGUUCGCCAUUUAAAGUGGUACGCGAGCUGGGUUUAGAACGUCGUGAGACAGUUCGGUCCCUAUCUGCCGUGGGCGCUGGAGAACUGAGGGGGGCUGCUCCUAGUACGAGAGGACCGGAGUGGACGCAUCACUGGUGUUCGGGUUGUCAUGCCAAUGGCACUGCCCGGUAGCUAAAUGCGGAAGAGAUAAGUGCUGAAAGCAUCUAAGCACGAAACUUGCCCCGAGAUGAGUUCUCCCUGACUCCUUGAGAGUCCUGAAGGAACGUUGAAGACGACGACGUUGAUAGGCCGGGUGUGUAAGCGCAGCGAUGCGUUGAGCUAACCGGUACUAAUGAACCGUGAGGCUUAACCUU